CUGCUUUUCAGAUUGCAAAACGGGAAAAUGCAAAACGGAAGCCAUAGCGGAUUUUAAAGAAUGUGAUCCGAAUGGAGAAGUAAAGGUUGAAUCUACUAACUAUGACUAAUAACCAUCUAAAUGGCCAACUAAUAUCAUACAUCUAAUUCCAUUUGUAAUGGUUCUUAAGUAUGAUUGGAUUAUAUUAUAACUAUAGUCGUAUUGUUGUCUACCACCACUCUGAUUAUGAUCAAUAGAAAUAUAAAUAGGAAUAAAGUCAAGUUAUUCCUCUUUUUAAAGAAUAAAAAAAACUAAUUUACAGUU
rnacentral:sRNA from 1 species